UGUGGCCCGCGCCAUAACGGUCAGCGCUCUCGAAUUUUUAGUCCGUAGAUAGGAAAUCGUAAUCUCGGUACCUACCUUAUAAGAUCUACAACUUAAAAAUAAUACGUUAUACGAUUUAAAUAAAACAAACUUUAGUUUGGGACAUUCAAGUUUAGGUAUUUCGUUUUUAGUUAGAUAAUGACAAUUUAAUUAUUUAAAUACAACAAAUGGUACACCAACAUGAACGGCUCAUUCUAUUAUGAAUUUAUAAAUAUGAAUUCCUUCAAACAACAAAUGUGUGUAAUAAUAAUUCACUCCAAUUACACAGUGAUUUAGCAAGUAAUCCUUAUGGGUUGUUUUGGAUUACCUUACAAAGAAUAAUGUUUGAAUAAAAGUUGUCGAAAUAUGUUAGUAAUACUUUUUAUUCUGAAAUCAAGAUGAGAUAGUAGAUGAGUGACUCUGAGGCUGAGACUGCCUCAAAAGAGACUACCCGGAUGUACGAUGAUGACCUAAAAUUAUCUCAUGUGUCUUGAUAUCAGAAUUAUCAAGAUCUGAUAAAUUAUUCUCCUGAAGCUGCUUGUCACAUAAGGCAGGAGAGUGACAUUUGAUUCCAGGACAGAAGAUAUAUCUGUGGAUUUUGUGAUUGUUUCUUCAUCCAUAGCUAAAACACCAAUGAGCACAGAUGGUUUAAGAUAAAGCUGUUAUUUGUCUGACUGAAAUGGAAGUACUGCACACACGAACUGAAUUGGACGAAUCUUUGACAAUAAAUAUGUACCUCUUCCAAUUUGUAAAUUAUUAUACAUCAAUAAUUUAUACAGCUUUUUUGAAUGGCAAAAAUGUUGAUUAUCCUGCUAAAUAUUUGCUUAUAGUUAUAUUCAAUCUUCGUCGAGAAGAAUGUAGUCCAGAUGGAUCUCUCAUGGAAUUAAGCAUCAAAUUGUUCAUUAUAAUGGUUGGGCAACAAUCAUCAAAGACUGUAUUGUAUUGGUUUUUUAGUUAAAGCCAAAAACUAAAACUGUUUAUAUUUAAGUGUGGGUUGAAAUUGGCUGAGAACACAGGUGUCUUAGAUAAUUUGAAAUCAUCAUCCGGAGAAGAAGAUUUGGCCACAGUUGUUAAGAAACCUUGGAUUGAAGAUUACAACACUUUAGAUUGGUGACCAAGCCGACUCUUCCCAGAAUAUUUGGAAAUAGAUAUUGACUUAAACAGAAUAUACUAUAAAAAUUGAAGAUGUGUCUCUAAAACGCAUUAAAAUAUUGGAUGAAUGGAUAAAUAAUAAUGCCAACACACCAGAUUUAACCAAUAGUUGAUAUUGAUAUACAAAGUGAAUAUACUGGCAACACUAAUUUAAAUUCAACUUUUGUAAAAUCAUUCAAUAUUACGCUUUACGAUUUGUCGCCAGAUAGAUAUUGACUUUAACAGAAUAUACUAUAAAAUUGAAGAAGUGUCUCUAAAAAGCAUUAAAAUAUUGGAUGAAUGGAUAAAUAAUAAUGCCAACACACCAGAUUUAACAAUAAUUCAAAAUAUAUGAUAAUUAUGUUCUCGUUUCAUAGUCUGUUAAUUUCUUGAUCAAGAAAAUUAACAUGAGAAGAGAAUGGGAAAAAAUUCUAUGUGUAAUAUGGAAUCAAUGAUUUCUCAAAUGCAAUCAUAAAAUCUAAUCAAACACUAUUGGAUAUGGAACCACUUUUAAAAUAAACGGUGCAGAAAGAGGAUCCUAUCUAUAGAUAAUAUUUUAAGAAUGGAUAGGCCACCGGAACUGAAAAUAUCUUGUUGAAGUGAGAACACUAUAUAAAAGCAGUCUCUCUCUCAUUCAUACUCCGGACCACGACCCCUUAUUUUGUUAAAAUAGGAAUGGCCUAUCCAUUCUUAUAUUAUCUAUAGUCCU